rnacentral:rRNA from 1 species
GACGAACGCUGGCGGCGUGCUUAACACAUGCAAGUCGAACGGAAAGGCCCUGCUUUUGUGGGGUGCUCGAGUGGCGAACGGGUGAGUAACACGUGAGUAACCUGCACUUGACUUUGGGAUAACUUCAGGAAACUCGGGCUAAUACCGGAUAUGAUCUCUUGCUGCAUGUUGGGGGAUGGAAAGUUUCGGCGUUUGGGGAUGGACUCGCGGCAUAUCAGCUUGUUUGUGGGGUAGGGGCUUACCAAGGCUUUGACGGGUAGCCCGCCUGAGAGGGUGACCGGCCACCAUGGGCCUGCGAUAGGGCCCAGACGCCUACGGGACGCAGUAGGGGGAAGUAUUACACAAUGGCGGCAAGCGUGAUGCAAAAACGCCGCGUGCGGGAUGCCCGCCUUCGGGUUAUAAACAGAUUUCGCCUGUGACGAAGAGUGAGUGACGGUAAUGGGUAAAGAAGCCACGGCUAACUACGUG